CCCCUGGUAGCUCAGUUGGUAGUAGCGUCUGUUUGAAAAACAGAAGGUCAUCCGUUCAAGCCGGAUCUGGGGGA
rnacentral:tRNA from 1 species